rnacentral:rRNA from 1 species
UUAAGCGACUAAGCGUACACGGUGGAUGCCCUGGCAGUCAGAGGCGAUGAAGGACGUGCUAAUCUGCGAUAAGCGUCGGUAAGGUGAUAUGAACCGUUAUAACCGGCGAUUUCCGAAUGGGGAAACCCAGUGUGUUUCGACACACUAUCAUUAACUGAAUCCAUAGGUUAAUGAGGCGAACCGGGGGAACUGAAACAUCUAAGUACCCCGAGGAAAAGAAAUCAACCGAGAUUCCCCCAGUAGCGGCGAGCGAACGGGGAGCAGCCCAGAGCCUGAAUCAGUGUGUGUGUUAGUGGAAGCGUCUGGAAAGGCGCGCGAUACAGGGUGACAGCCCCGUACACAAAAAUGCACAUAUUGUGAGCUCGAUGAGUAGGGCGGGACACGUGGUAUCCUGUCUGAAUAUGGGGGGACCAUCCUCCAAGGCUAAAUACUCCUGACUGACCGAUAGUGAACCAGUACCGUGAGGGAAAGGCGAAAAGAACCCCGGCGAGGGGAGUGAAAAAGAACCUGAAACCGUGUACGUACAAGCAGUGGGAGCACGCUUAGGCGUGUGACUGCGUACCUUUUGUAUAAUGGGUCAGCGACUUAUAUUCUGUAGCAAGGUUAACCGAAUAGGGGAGCCGAAGGGAAACCGAGUCUUAACUGGGCGUUAAGUUGCAGGGUAUAGACCCGAAACCCGGUGAUCUAGCCAUGGGCAGGUUGAAGGUUGGGUAACACUAACUGGAGGACCGAACCGACUAAUGUUGAAAAAUUAGCGGAUGACUUGUGGCUGGGGGUGAAAGGCCAAUCAAACCGGGAGAUAGCUGGUUCUCCCCGAAAGCUAUUUAGGUAGCGCCUCGUGAAUUCAUCUCCGGGGGUAGAGCACUGUUUCGGCAAGGGGGUCAUCCCGACUUACCAACCCGAUGCAAACUGCGAAUACCGGAGAAUGUUAUCACGGGAGACACACGGCGGGUGCUAACGUCCGUCGUGAAGAGGGAAACAACCCAGACCGCCAGCUAAGGUCCCAAAGUCAUGGUUAAGUGGGAAACGAUGUGGGAAGGCCCAGACAGCCAGGAUGUUGGCUUAGAAGCAGCCAUCAUUUAAAGAAAGCGUAAUAGCUCACUGGUCGAGUCGGCCUGCGCGGAAGAUGUAACGGGGCUAAACCAUGCACCGAAGCUGCGGCAGCGACGCUUAUGCGUUGUUGGGUAGGGGAGCGUUCUGUAAGCCUGUGAAGGUGUACUGUGAGGUAUGCUGGAGGUAUCAGAAGUGCGAAUGCUGACAUAAGUAACGAUAAAGCGGGUGAAAAGCCCGCUCGCCGGAAGACCAAGGGUUCCUGUCCAACGUUAAUCGGGGCAGGGUGAGUCGACCCCUAAGGCGAGGCCGAAAGGCGUAGUCGAUGGGAAACAGGUUAAUAUUCCUGUACUUGGUGUUACUGCGAAGGGGGGACGGAGAAGGCUAUGUUGGCCGGGCGACGGUUGUCCCGGUUUAAGCGUGUAGGCUGGUUUUCCAGGCAAAUCCGGAAAAUCAAGGCUGAGGCGUGAUGACGAGGCACUACGGUGCUGAAGCAACAAAUGCCCUGCUUCCAGGAAAAGCCUCUAAGCAUCAGGUAACAUCAAAUCGUACCCCAAACCGACACAGGUGGUCAGGUAGAGAAUACCAAGGCGCUUGAGAGAACUCGGGUGAAGGAACUAGGCAAAAUGGUGCCGUAACUUCGGGAGAAGGCACGCUGAUAUGUAGGUGAAGUCCCUCGCGGAUGGAGCUGAAAUCAGUCGAAGAUACCAGCUGGCUGCAACUGUUUAUUAAAAACACAGCACUGUGCAAACACGAAAGUGGACGUAUACGGUGUGACGCCUGCCCGGUGCCGGAAGGUUAAUUGAUGGGGUUAGCCGCAAGGCGAAGCUCUUGAUCGAAGCCCCGGUAAACGGCGGCCGUAACUAUAACGGUCCUAAGGUAGCGAAAUUCCUUGUCGGGUAAGUUCCGACCUGCACGAAUGGCGUAAUGAUGGCCAGGCUGUCUCCACCCGAGACUCAGUGAAAUUGAACUCGCUGUGAAGAUGCAGUGUACCCGCGGCAAGACGGAAAGACCCCGUGAACCUUUACUAUAGCUUGACACUGAACAUUGAGCCUUGAUGUGUAGGAUAGGUGGGAGGCUUGGAAGUGUGGACGCCAGUCUGCAUGGAGCCGACCUUGAAAUACCACCCUUUAAUGUUUGAUGUUCUAACGUUGACCCGUAAUCCGGGUUGCGGACAGUGUCUGGUGGGUAGUUUGACUGGGGCGGUCUCCUCCUAAAGAGUAACGGAGGAGCACGAAGGUUGGCUAAUCCUGGUCGGACAUCAGGAGGUUAGUGCAAUGGCAUAAGCCAGCUUGACUGCGAGCGUGACGGCGCGAGCAGGUGCGAAAGCAGGUCAUAGUGAUCCGGUGGUUCUGAAUGGAAGGGCCAUCGCUCAACGGAUAAAAGGUACUCCGGGGAUAACAGGCUGAUACCGCCCAAGAGUUCAUAUCGACGGCGGUGUUUGGCACCUCGAUGUCGGCUCAUCACAUCCUGGGGCUGAAGUAGGUCCCAAGGGUAUGGCUGUUCGCCAUUUAAAGUGGUACGCGAGCUGGGUUUAGAACGUCGUGAGACAGUUCGGUCCCUAUCUGCCGUGGGCGCUGGAGAACUGAGGGGGCUGCUCCUAGUACGAGAGGACCGGAGUGGACGCAUCACUGGUGUUCGGGUUGUCAUGCCAAUGGCACUGCCCGGUAGCUAAAUGCGGAAGAGAUAAGUGCUGAAAGCAUCUAAGCACGAAACUUGCCCCGAGAUGAGUUCUCCCUGACCCUUUAAGGGUCCUGAAGGAACGUUGAAGACGACGACGUUGAUAGGCCGGGUGUGUAAGCGCAGCGAUGCGUUGAGCUAACCGGUACUAAUGAACCGUGAGGCUUAACCUU